UGGCGGACGGGUGAGUAAUGUCUGGGAAACUGCCCGAUGGAGGGGGAUAACUACUGGAAACGGUAGCUAAUACCGCAUAACGUCGCAAGACCAAAGAGGGGGACCUUGGGCCUCUUGCCAUCGGAUGUGCCCAGAUGGGAUUAGCUAGUAGGUGGGGUAACGGCUCACCUAGGCGACGAUCCCUAGCUGGUCUGAGAGGAUGACCAGCCACACUGGAACUGAGACACGGUCCAG
rnacentral:rRNA from 1 species